rnacentral:tRNA from 1 species
GGGGCUGUGGCUCAGAGGUAGAGUGCUCGCCUGGCAUGUGCGAGGUCCUGGGUUAGAUCCUCAGCACCA